UACGUAGGGGGCAAGCGUUGUCCGGAUUUAUUGGGCGUAAAGAGCGUGUAGGCGGCCAAGCAGGUCAGCUGUGAAAACUCGAGGCUCAACCUCGAGACGUCGGUUGAAACCGCUUGGCUAGAGUCCGGAAGAGGAGAGUGGAAUUCCCGGUGUAGCGGUGAAAUGCGCAGAUAUCGGGAAGAACACCCGUGGCGAAGGCGGCUCACUGGACCACAACUGACGCUGAGGCGCGAAAGCUAGGGGAGCAAACAGG
rnacentral:rRNA from 1 species